GACCCGGACAGGUCUUGGGAACCAAUUGGUGCUCAACCCCAGGGGCAUCUCUUGGAAGCUACCUGGAUUCCGCCUCAGCUCCAAGGAUAGCCUAGGCGUUCACUAGAGGUGGGGACCUUCCACCAGUUAGUUACUCAGACCCCUCGGAGUCAGGAAGAGAGAUGUGCCUUAUAAUGGUCCAUCCGACACCCUGCUAGGGUUACUUUUCUUUAUCAGCUUGGCACAAGGUAGAAUGGCCUGGGAAAGGGAUUGCCUAGAUGGAAUAUUUCUUGGGCUGAUUGAUUGUGCGUGGCACCAUUUCAUGGGCUGGGCCUGCACUGAUGAGAUGGUGUAUACCUGUGAUCCUAGCACUCCAGAGGCAGAGGCAGAAGCAUGGCUGCAGCUUUGUGCCAAGGCUGGAUUUAGCCUUGUGAUAAUGUGAGCCUGAAGCUGCCAACAGCUACCAUAUGGAACCUAAAGAAUGCUGACAGAAUCAAACAAGCUACAGAAAGAAACCCAACGAGUUUCACUCCAUAGCCCAGGAGCAACAGGGCUGCUCAAUUAUAAUAAUGAGAUCUUGUCUCAAAAAUAAAACCAUGUCCAAACCUCAA